rfam:Vigna angularis cultivar Jingnong 6 chromosome 5, whole genome shotgun sequence.
GAAUGACACAAUUAUUGUUUAUUUCUUAAUUGUUUUGAUAGCCUGUAUGAUGACACUUUUGCAUUAGUUCUAUCUAAUAAUUC